rnacentral:lncRNA from 1 species
AAUGAUUUUAUUUAUUUUAACAUUUUAAAAUGUUUUCCUUUGGGGAAUUCUAAUUUAUAUAUCAAUAUUCAGGUAAUAUUUGCUGAAAACACAAACAGAGUCAAAAUGAUCUGCAUUCACAUUCUCAUUUUCUAUUAUAACAUAGAGACAACUACUUUAUUAUCUUUUUAGAAACUUUUGCAACUACUUUAGUUUCUUCCUAAUUUUAUAAAUUAAUCUAUCUCAAAAAACUUUGCCCAAAAGACUUAGUAAUAGCUGUCAACUUCAGAAAAACUAAAACUUUAAAGAUAACUUUUAGAAGGAAAAUGAAAUACAGAAAUAAUGUAUCUUAUUUACACUUAAUUAAAAAUAAUAUGAAUUGUCACUAUUUCCUAUGAAAACAUCUCAUGCCAAAUUUCUUUUAUUAAGCUAGGAUUUAAAAGAUAAUUUAGUUGAAACUGGUAGAAUCUUAGUAAAAUUAUAACAAUAAGAAAUUUUUAUAUUAUAUAUAAUAUAGAAUAAUCACAUUUAAUUCCACUUGUUAGUCUAUUCUGAUUCUUUAGCAAGUUGAUUCAUAAUUUGCCAACUUGGGUCAGAAAUAUUUUCUAUUCUUAGCUUUUGCUGUCAGCAGAGAUAAUAAUAAUAUAGAACCUGAACAACAAAGGAUUGUGUAUUGUUUCAAUUUAAUUAAAGUUGAUUCCCUGCUUUAAGAGAGACUCACAUUUUAUAUAUUUUUUUAUUAAAAAGAGAAUGUAGAUAUUUGCUUUUCCAAAUUUCCCAUAAGAUAAAGAAAACAUAUUUUUUCUUAAUUACACCCUUGCUAAGUCACGCUAGCUGCCUGACCUUGGACAAAAUUCUUAACCUCUUUGUGUCUCAUUUUCAAUAACUGUGAAUUAAAGAUGAUUAUUGUAGUAUAUUUCUCAAGGGAUUGUUGUGGGAAUUAAAUAAAAUAAUCCUCUAAAAUGCUUAGUACAGAUUCUGGAACAUAAUAAGCAGAAAAAAUUAAUAACUUAUUAUUUUUAUUUACUAUAUUAUAUGACAUACUUUUUCUUUAUGAUCUUCAGGGGAAUUUCUACUCAUCUUAAAAACAUAUAUAGAUAUUGAUCUGCGGAGAAAUAUAUCUCUGUUAUUUCAAGGUCUGUGGAUUACAUAAUGGUCAACUCUGAUUGAUUUACUGAUUGAUUCAAAAAAUUUUAAAGCAAAACUAAAAAUAUUGCAGCUAUGUUGGUUUUAACCAUUCUAAACUCUGAUGAAAUUUGCUUUCUGUUUGGUUUGUGACUAGGAAGCUAAACAUUAUUUAUUAGUAAUGAAAAUUUCUGGUGUCUAAAAAAAUUCAAGAGGAAAACCAUUAGAUUCUAUUACAAUUAAAUCUGUUAAGAUUUAAUUGCAAAUAUGUAGAUAGUGCAAAUAUGUCUUAGGGUACAAUUUUUGUUCUCAUUAAGUUACCCAUUUUACAUUUUGAGAACACUAACAGAUGAAAUACUUGUCAAAGAGAAGAUCUAAGAUGGUUUAAAGAAAAUAUUAAAUGAAAUCAAACUUACUUGUCAAGCUCCAUAGCACAACUUACAAGUCAUAAAUCGCACUCUGUAUGACAGCUACGGGAGGGAUCUGGGUAGUAAAACAAAAUGAUGGAUUUUAUCUUUCCUGUUUUUGAGUUAUUAAGAACUAGUUGAACUAUAGAAUGACGUGAAAGACUCACAUCAGGGAUGGGAGGUUAUUUGCAGAAACUCUUAUUUUCUUUAUCACAUUAAUGUCAAUAUUUGACAUUUCCAUACGACUAAUUAUUGAACUAAUUUUUGAUUUCUUAUGCCAACUGUUAAUAAUCCUCUUUUCAUCCAGAAAACAAUCACUUUUUGUCUAUCUGUAAAUUGACAUUUGUUAUGUUAAUUUGUUUUUGCUUAUUACAAGGAUUAUCUUUUAUUUACAACAAAGCAUUCACAGAUUGCCGUGACAGAUUUGUCUUCAAUCAAAUCUCAUAAACAUUAAUUGAAUUAUUGAAAGGAAUUUGUAAAUUAUUGUGUUUUUUCUAAAAUAGUAACAUCAGCGUGUAUAUUACGUUAAUUUUGUUUACAGUUUUUUGCUUCACAUUAACUAUAUUUAACUGAUUUUAACAGCCUUAGAUAACUCCAAAACAUCAAUUACUUUACUUGGAUUUAUUAAUUCAUUCAAAAAAUAUAUAUAUAAUGAGAAUCUAUUAUUUGCCAGGCACUGGGCUAGGCAAAGGUAAGAGUGAAUGGCAAAAUCAUGUUCUCCCUGUUUUCCUGUAAUAUAUUGUCUGGCUAAAGGCUGUGAAGGAAGAGUAAUGUGAAGGAAGAGUAUUCGAAGGAUAUAAGAAAAGGGAUCACACAAUUAACUGUAUGUAGGCUGUUCUUAGGGAAGAUUUCUUCUAGAGGUGGUACUUGGCCUUCAGUCAGAAGCAUGAUUUGAUAUUUGAUGUUAACCAGGUAAUUGAGGGGAUAAGGUGCUUUCUCAGCAGAAAAGACAUAGUAGGCAAAGUCUUUAAGUUAAAAGCAUAGUGAAAGCUCAAAACUAAAAGGAGGCUUGGGUGUCUGGACUCCAGAGACAGGAAGAGAGUUUAUAGAGUCUAGCAGAGAUAGCAGAGAAGACUUUAUCUUUUUUUUUUCUUUUUUUUUUUUUCUGUAGCAAACAUCUUUCCUGUGAAAAAUUCCCUCUCCUAGUACUUUAGUUCUGUGGAUCCAAAAUUUAUAGCAUUCUUCUACCACCACAGGGGCUCAUAUGACAUUAACAGACAAGACACUUUUCAGAAAGACAGGUUGUUCUUUUGGGCCACAUCUAAGAAAUCUUUGUCUAGCCAAAAGCCACAAAUAAUUUCUCAUUUUUUGGCUUCUGGAAGAUGUACAGUUAAAUGUUAUAUUUGGGACUGUUAUCUAAUUUGGUUAAAUUGCACUCUACAAUAUGGUAUUUGAAUUGAUGAAAAAUUAGUAAAUGUUAAUAUUUUUUAAAGUAGCCAAAUCUUGCAAUUUAUAUAUAAUAGAGAAGACUAGAAAAUCCCCCAUAUUUAUUUCCUCUUACUUCGUACUACUAAAAUUUGUAUUUAGGCAUUUGGUUUCUCAGAUAAACAUUACAUUCCCCAGUAUAUGGUUCUAUCUGGCUUGGUGACGACAUGUUGAACAUUAAGAUGUGAGCAGAAGUAAUACAUACACACUCUUUUUCAUGUCUUUAAUUGAAUGGGAUAUUGGCCCAUUUUUUCUUCCAGUUUAUUACACUGAAUAUUGACAUGUUAUUUUCCAAUAUUGAGACAAUCAAUGACAAGACUUUAAGAGUAACAAUGUAAAAAUACAGAAGUUGUCUGAGUUUAUCAACAAUCCCCUGGAUUAGAACCCCCUACCAGUUCUAGGUCAUCUAAUAUAUAGACAUUGUGUUCAGUAGAAAUAAAUAUAUAUAUUUUUUAUUAUGCUUUAAGUUCUAGGAUACAUGUGCACAACAUGCAGUUUUGUUACAUUGGUAUACACGUGCCAUGUUGGUUUGCUGCACCCAUUAACUCAUCAUUUACAUUAGGUAUUUCUCCUAAUGCUAUCCCUCCCCCUGCCCCCACCCCCGACAGGCCCUGGGGUGUGAUUUUCCCCACCCUGUGUCCAAGUGUUCUCAUUGCUCAAUUCCCACCUAUGGGAAUACAUUUUUAAAUCAUUUUUAAAGGUGUUAUUACAUUCUGAUUGAACAUUUUCAGAAAGAAUAAAUAAUUUAAUACAAGAAGUGGGCCACUUCAUGUAACAAAACAAACCACCACUACAGCAACAACAACAAAAAACACUAAUGAAUGUGACUUUAGCUUUGCAACAUCGUGACAGACUAGCAAGUUAAUGACAUUUGUUAUGCCAUAGAAAAUAUUUGUUGAAUUGCCACUCUAAUGACUUUAUAUCAGCCAACUCAUUAUCAACACUAGAAAAGAUGAUUAAAAAAUACUUCAGUACGUUCACGUGUUGGCUUGUUAACAUUUUUAAGAGUCUAUAAGAGAAAAAUGCAUCCAAUCUUGACAAAAAUAUUUUUCAAGUAUCUUGUAGGUACGUACAACUAACUACCUUGUGAACAAAAGUCACUAUAUAAUUAUAUAAUUUCUGACACUUAAAAAAGUUUAUUGUGCUAAAGAAGAUAUAUGUUCUAAUACCAAAUCCACAUAUAAAAUAAUUGACUUAAAUAAUUUAAGAUGCUCUUUUAUAUAUUUAUAUUAAAAACUUUACAGAGAAUAAAAAAAGCAUUAUACAGGCUACUUAUGGUUUUUGAUGUUUGGAUCUACAAUACAUGUAUCAAAGAUUGUGGAAAUAAAUCAAACAAUAUAUUCAAUUGGACUUAAUUGCAUUAUUACAUGCCAAGUGUCGUAUACCAUCUAUUUGCACAUAACACUUUUUAAUUUAGGUAAAAUUAUUAUCAUAAAGCUACAUGAAUUUAUUUUAUUCCAUGUUAUUAUUUAUGUAUUGUUAGGAACAUUUGCUUAAAAAUCAUAUUUGGACAUAGUUAGUAUCAGAUACUUUACAUCCUUUGAAUCAGUUAUUUUAUAACAGUAUAUACUAAACAUCAUUACUCCUUUUCAAACAUAAAUAACGCAAUACAAAUUGGACAAAAAAUUCAGGAAAGAUCUGGGAUCAAAAAGGAGGUAUUGAAACAUCACAUGUACUCCAUAAUUAUAUACAAAUAUUUUGUACCCAUAAUAUUUAAAAUACAGAAAAUUAAAAGGUGCAUUUUCCUCAAAGUGCAUGCUUCUUUUGCUAUGCAAAACUGCAAGAUAUGGAAAGAAGUGUAUUAAAACACUAAAUCACUUUAUGUGGAAGAUAAAAGGGAUGGUACCCAAUGUAAGACUUCAUGUAGUGCACUGAUACAUUCAAUACAAAUGAUGUAUUAACUUCAAGAUAACAUGAGAAAGUUAAAUUAUCUAACUUAUUUCAAACUAGGGGAUAGUAUGUUCUCAUUAUUAGAAGCCAGAAUUCUGCUUAUCCAUUUCUAUUAUUAGAAAAAAACAUAAUUUUUAUUCUUGUCUUAAAAAUAGACACCAUGAUAUCAUUCUCUGUAAAUGCAGCAUGAUAGUCUGUUUACAGAGUUUAUAUCAUUCCAAGACUGCACUUCUAAAGUGAGAAAAUAUUAAAGGAUAUAAACUCACUCCUCUCUACAAAAUUCCUUAUUUUUUAUGCAAUGGCUUUAAAAUGUAUGGAAGGGGAGUUAUGGAAACAAUCCAUACCUGGAAAGCAUUCUAUCCAUGCCUUUGAAAUGGUUAUCUAGUACUAGAUUCUUAUCAGUGCCUAGCUAUGUAAUGUGUGUAGCUUAAGAUUUUUAAGAAAGAAGGAUAAAAUGCUCAAUAUAAAUUUAAAAAGCACUUUUAUUGGAAUAUUGAAUCAUAUAUUUGCUUUCUGUAAGUCCUUUUAUCUAUAAAAUAAUAGUUGAGAAAGGCAAAUAGAAUAUGUGGAGGAAUUAAAAAUUCAGUUGUAGGGUGGUAAAUGAAAACCAAAUUUUUCAUUCACCACAUUAAAUGUAAAUGGGUAUUAUACUCAAUUUAAGCAGCAAAGUUGCUUUUUUUUUUUUUUUUUUUUUUG